AGAAAAAGGUGGUACAAAUACUCAAACUGCUGAAACAAGUACAGCGGGAACCAAUAAAACAGCUACAGCGGAAUCCAAUAAAACAGGUAGAUUUGUUGCUCUAAGCACUUAUUUAAAUAUUUGUGACAUGAUAAUUUAAAAUAGUUGUAAAAUGAUUUAUAUUGU